CGCGCCGUAAACGAUGCACGCUAGGUGUCCCGGGGCAACCCGGGGUACCGCAGCUAACGCGAUAAGCGUGCCGCCUGGGGAGUACGCACGCAAGUGUGAAACUCAAAGGAAUUGACGGGGGCCCGCACAAGCGGUGGAGCAUGUGGUUUAAUUCGAAGCAACGCGCAGAACCUUACCAGGGUUUGACAUGGAAUCGCCGCGGCGAGAGAUCGCCGUUUUGCAGCAAUGCAACGGUUCACACAGGUGC
rnacentral:rRNA from 1 species